rnacentral:lncRNA from 1 species
GGCAAUCGAGCAUCAGAGUCCAUUGAUAUGAAACCCUGAUCAAAAAGUCCCAAACCAGUGGGACUCUUGACCCCGGUACCCAAAAUGUGUGGAACUCGUGAUUAGAGAAUCCUGAUUCUCAAUCAUAGAGUUUCAGACAUGUAUGACUCAAAGUCCAUGAGCAUUAAGACUCUUCACCAGCCAUCAGAUCAGAUAGGAACCUCUAAUGUGUGUGACCCCGCAGGUUCGAACCUAAGCCGGUAGCACAAGAACCAAUUCCUGUACUAAUCGAAGUGACC